AGAAAAUUAGAAGGGAUCUUUACUUUGAGACACAAAACUCCUUGUACUGUACAACUUUCAAAGGAAAAAGUGGGAUCUCAACUUUCACAAAAUAGUAUGACUGUAAUUCAAAUAAUUUAAUAGCAAAUUACAAGUGCCUAGGGCAGGAUAUGGACCUCGAAGUACGAGAGCUAUAGUGGCAUUGGUAUGGUAAAUCAAUCAUAAACUGCUUCUUUUCCUAGGCUGCACCAUCAGUACCAUUUUUGUGCUGUUCACUACCAUCAGAGUCUUGGAUCCCACAAGAGGUUAACUUCAUUCAAGAUCUCAACCACCAAGAGAUGCACAGACAGCAAGCAGGCAUGGAUCUGGACAACAGAGCAGUCACAGAGGGCUGUUAGAAGACAAAAGGAUGAAGAACCUCAGAGACAAAUCUCUGGAGAUGGGAUAAUCAAGUGUGCUGCUGAGCAGGG
rnacentral:lncRNA from 1 species